CGGGUGAGUAAUGCUUGGGAAUCUGGCUUAUGGAGGGGGAUAACUACGGGAAACUGUAGCUAAUACCGCGUAGUAUCGAGAGAUUAAAGUGUGGGACCUUCGGGCCACAUGCCAUAGGAUGAGCCCAAGUGGGAUUAGGUAGUUGGUGAGGUAAAGGCUCACCAAGCCGACGAUCUCUAGCUGGUCUGAGAGGAUGACCAGCCACACUGGGACUGAGACACGGCCCAG
rnacentral:rRNA from 1 species